AGGGAAAUGACAAAUCUCUUUCCAGUUUCUACUUUCUAGUGCUUGACAUUUUUGUAUUCAACGGAGUGCGCAAACUACAGCCAAACCCACAAGCGUUAGCAAAUCAAGACACUACCACGUUACUCCGAACACGCAUCCGCCUCUCUCAAGUCUCCACUACUUUUUUUUUUUUUUUGGGUCAAAAUAAAAAAAAAAGAUACCUUCAAAUAUUCACAGAAUCUUUUUGCACGCAUGGUCGUUAGAUAACCAAAACUUUAUCGACACAGAAACAAGAGAAUAGUUUUACUACUUGAGUUUCUUGAGCUGCGGAACAAUUUUCAAUUUGAUCAAUUGAUCGGUGAAGGCGGCAAUCAUUUUUCAGGGAUAUUUUAUCAAUUCUUGAACUUAUAUUUUGAAUGCAAGAAUUCAAGCAUUGCUUGCGGAUUUUGCUUCUUACGAUUCUUUUUGAGAAGAUGGCAUAAUUCUUGUCAUGAUUUGGGUCCACUGUGGUUAAUUAGGUUGUCGAAUACUAAGAUCAUUAGGACUUUUAGAUUGCAUUUGUAUUCUAAAGGGUUCAUUCUUGGUGGAUAGAGCAGAUGAAUGUGGUGGUUAAAGUCGGGAGCCUUCUUACACAAGGGGUGUACUCUGUUGCUACCCCAUUUCAUCCAUUUGGUGGGGCUGUUGAUAUAAUUGCUGUGCAGCAGCAGGAUGGUAGCUUUAGGAGCACACCUUGGUAUGUUAGAUUUGGAAAAUUUCAGGGUGUUCUUAAGGGUGCAGAAAAAGUUGUUCGAAUAGAAGUUAAUGGGAUUGAAGCCAAUUUCCAUAUGUAUCUCGACAAUUCAGGAGAGGCGUAUUUCGUCAGGGAGGUUGUCUCUGCGGAAGAUGGUGAACUUAAUGGUGGUUUGCAUCCUGCUGAUAGUCAUGAAGGUGUCCAAGAGGAUAAUAACAUAGAUCAAACUAAUAGUGGCACUAGUACGAAAGAUGAUUCUCUUUGUUUAGAUGAAAGUUGCGAUUCCCAUACUGGUGAGUUUCAGUUGCGAGAUGAGCACGUUGCCCUUGGUGUAGAUAGGUUGCAGAGAACGGAAUCUGAUAGUGAAAGGCGAUUCUAUGAUUUUCCGGAUGUCCAAUCUUCGUUUGAGGGUUCAACUGAGUUAUCAGAGUAUGGUUCUGGCCGUUAUGAUAGUCUGGACAUGGAUCAUGUGAUGGAAUCACAGAAUUUGAGUUCAGAAGUUGUACUGGUGAGCGUGGAUGGUCACAUUCUUACAGCACCCAUCUCAUCAUCGGAGAGGAAUACUGAGGAUGUGGAACUAGACACGCCUCAGUUUCAUCUAGGCCCAGGUGAAGGGACCGAAGAGUUUAACAAUAGUGAAGGUGCAUGGGCUGCCAAUUAUUUGAGUAGCUUUGACGUAUCAACACUUAAAGCUAAUUCUGAAGAUGUUUGCAAGACGAAUAAUGAUGAUAAUAUUUCUGAGCCCCGGCUGGAAGGAAAUGAAGGAUAUGGGAGCCAUCUGAAUCAAGUUGAAGAAAAUCAUGAAACAGAGAAACAGGUACUGGAUCUUCACUAUGAUAGUAGCUUGGAGAGUACAUCUGCCAGCAUGAAGGAGGAGGAUGUCUUCGGAAGCUGUUUGGAGAUACCAGCCCUGGCCAUGCAGGUUGGAAAUUCCAGCAGUCAUGAUGCCAAUUCUCCAUUGGAGGUUCUUGAAGUUGCCAAAGAUUCGCAAGAUAAAUCUCCUCAAAGAUCACUAUCAAUUACUGGAAGUGAAGGUGUGCAACUUGUCAUAUCAAGAGCUGAGGAUGAACUUUCUCCUUCGAUAUCUAAUACUUCCGGCAGUGUUUCUUCACCAGACUUGCAGGUCCCAGCUGAAACAAUUGAGAGAAAUACAUUUGAUACAGAUAUAAGUGGUUCUGCUAGCAUGGUGGAUGAUUUCAUUCAUACUAAUGGAGAACUCGAGAAAGAAGUCAAUGUGUUAUCCAGGCCACAAGCAUCCAUUUCUGAAGGAGAAAUUACAAUAAGUGACAAUGUGGAAACUGAGAAAUCUGCUUAUUGCAAAGAUAUUGAAAAUGAUACAGGAACAAGCUUAGAGUUAUCUCUUUGCAGACACCUACUUCAAUCUGGCAUGGGUCUGAAUGCAGCUGCACAAGCCUUUGAUGCACACCGCAUAUCUGAAGAGGAAUUUAAAGUUUCUGCAGCAUCGAUUAUUAAUAAUGAAAACUUAGUUGUCAGAAUUCAGGGGAAGUACUUGCCAUGGGAUAAAGCUGCUCCUAUUGUUCUUGGUAUGGUUGCAUAUGGUUUGCAAUUAUCUAUUGAAUCAAGCGAUGCAAUUUCUUUGGAACAGGAUGACACUAGGAAAAGCAGGGAAGAUGCAUCUGGAAUCUCUUCGACUCCUUCUGGGCGUGGAUGGAGGCUUUGGCCAAAUCCAUUUAGAAGGGUUAGGAGAAUUGAGCAUGCUAAUAGUAAUUCAUCAAACGAAGAUGCAGUUGCCGAUUCUGAAUCUGGCUCGCAGAGUCAACCUGUAGAAGCAACCCGAACUGCUCCUGAUGGUAAGGAGUCUCCUCAGAAGCCACUUAUGAGAACAAACGUUCCUACAAGUGAUCAAAUUGCAUCUUUGAACCUAAAAGAGGGACAGAAUAUGGUGACAUUCACAUCCUUUUCAAGGGUCCUAGGACCUCAGAAGGUUGAAGCUCAUAUAUACUUGUGGAAGUGGAAUGCACGGAUUGUAAUUUCAGAUGUUGAUGGAACAAUCACCAAGUCCGAUGUUCUUGGUCAGUUCAUGCCCUUGGUUGGUAAGGACUGGACACAUUCUGGAAUAGCUCGACUUUUCUCAGCAAUUAAGGUGUCCAAGGUGGAUAACUUCUGUUAUGUUUGGUGUUCAGAAGCAAGUUUUGGAGUUUUUCUCCUCCUUCUCCACAUGUUAUUUUUUUGGGAAAAGAUGUGGACAGAAAUCAGUGUUUCAGUGUUAUUUGUAUCAUUUUGCCUAUUUAUGUACAUCUUGUCUUUACUGAGAGCUCAUUUUGCUGGCAAAAGUGAAAAUACAUUCUGCCUAUUUAUUCUUUCUUGUUUUUAACUGACACUUCUCUUGUGAUUGUCCAUUCAUACUGACUCUAGUUACUUUCAUUGCACUAUACCACUAACAUUUGUUGCUUUAUUGGCUUACAAUAUUGAUCCAAAUGUUGUGCUUAAAAACAGGAGAAUGGGUACCAGCUUCUGUUCUUGAGUGCACGUGCAAUCGUUCAAGCAUAUAUUACCAAGAGUUUUCUAUUUAAUUUAAAGCAGGAUGGGAAUACCUUGCCAGAUGGACCUGUUGUCAUAUCGCCUGAUGGUUUAUUCCCUUCACUAUACCGAGAAGGUGGCAUUCCCUUCCCUUUUCUCAAGGAUUUUUUGCUCUACUUCUUGGUUUGUUUUGUGAAAGUGCUUAAACCAUUAUGCAAUAUUUUGUGCUUAGUUUUAGUGAUCAUCCUGUUUUUCGGUUUUGGCAUUAUCUUGGAUACCUUCCGCUUUCAUCAUUAUAAGAGUUUAGGCAAAUAGAACAAUGGAUGCUGCAAGCUGCAUGUAUUUUGUAUAGUCAUGUCAUUAUGUUUUGGUGGUUCUAUUUAAAGCAUGAUAUUUUCCUUCUGGUCAUUAGGUGUAGAAUUGUUGGGAUUUUCAACAAGGAAUGUAUCAAUAUAUUCUUCCAUAGCUAGCGUAAAACAUCCCGUGAAUGUAGUUGUAAAGCACCAAAAUCUUUUGUAACCUUCGUUUCUGUGGGUCUUCACAUAUGCAUAUGAACGAACAAGUGAAGAAUAUCGCUUUGACAUUGCAGUCUCUUUACCUGCCUUUGUGAAAAGGCUAGAUUUAUUUUACAGCUAUUGUUAUAUUCUGUGAAGAGACAUGUCCAUUGAAAUAUCUGAUUGUGUAACUAAAACUGAAAAAUUUGUUAUAGCUUGACCUUCCAUCAUUUUGAUAAAUUACUCUUCGGAAAGUGAAAAGAUAUCUGGUAUAUUGCUCUGUGUGCGCGUGAGUUUUUUCAUAAAUAAGGAGCUGCAAGAGCCAGUCACUGCUCUGUGAAAAUUCCAAUAUUUAGAUGAUGGCAAGAACCUGCUUGUGUUUCCUAAUGACAAAGAAUGAGAAAUGCUGUAUCCUUCUCGUUCUCUUCAAACAGUUUGAAUUUGGUGGUGUGCUGCCAGUUAAUCUGUGUAUUGUGCAAGGAAAUGAUGAGUUUGGAAUACAUGUUUUCUGUGGAUGGCAGUGAUAAGAAGAGCUCCUCAUGAAUUUAAGAUUGCGUGUUUAGAGGUAAAUAUAAGAGCGAACUUUUUCUUAGUGAUUAACGAAUGAAUCCUUUAAGCUUUGGAUUUCUUUUCGAUGCAUCCCUGCUGGGACGCUAAAAACAGUAUACUUUGCAGGAUAUUAAAGCGCUUUUCCCUCCUGAUUACAAUCCCUUCUAUGCGGGUUUUGGGAACAGAGACACCGAUGAGCUCAGUUACAGAAAGAUUGGCAUCCCAAAGGGCAAAAUAUUCAUCAUCAACCCUAAGGGUGAGGUAGCCAUUAAUCAUCGCAUUGAUGUGAAGUCGUACACUUCACUACACACGCUGGUACAUGAUAUGUUCCCGCCUACAUCGUUGCUCGAGCAGGAAGAUUACAACUCGUGGAAUUAUUGGAAAAUGCCAUUGCCAGAGAUUGAUGGCUACUAGAAGAAGAAGUUUGCUUCUCACCCUCACUGACAAAUUUUUCCUUCUUGGAAUCAAUAAAGUGCGGCAAACCGUCGUCUGUUAACGACAGGCUCGUAGCUGAUUUCUAUGAAAGAAAAGAAGAAGAAAUGGGGCGGCAGGACUACGAUUCUUAACUUAAUGUUGAUUUUUAUGUAAAAAAAAAAAAUCCACAUUGUAAGCAUAAGCGGGGUUCAUAUUGUACUGCCAUUUGGCUCAUUCAUUUCUCAUCAUCUUUAUUAAUAAUCUAAUAAAGUGUCGUAGCAGCACGAAGAA